GACGUAGGAGGCAAGCGUUAUCCGGAAUCACUGGGCGUAAAGGGCGUCUAGGCGGCUUGACAAGCGAGGUGUGAAAGCUCCUGGCUCAACUAGGAGAGUGCGCUUCGAACUGUCGAGCUUGGAGGGCAGGCGAAGGGGGUGGAAUUCCCGGUGGAGUGGUGGAAUGCGUAGAGAUCGGGAGGAACACCCGUGGCGAAAGCGGCCCCCUAGCCUGACCCUGACGCUGAAGCGCGAAAGCGUGGGGAGCAAACGGG
rnacentral:rRNA from 1 species